UUUUCCCUUGCUGCUUUCAUUUUUUCUUUGUAUUUAAUUUUUGUUAGUUUGAUUAGUGUGUGUCUUGGUGUGUUUAUCCUUGAGUUUAUCCUAUAUGGGAUUUCCUGUGCUUCCUGGAUUUGGGUGAUUAUUUCUUUUCCCAUAUUAGGAAACUUUUAAACUAUAAUCACUUCAAAUAUUUUCUCAGACCCUUUCUCUUUCUCUUUUUCUGGACCCCUAUAAUUUGAAUGUUGGUGCAUUUAAUGUUGUCCCAAAAGUCUCUGAGACUGUCCUCAUUUCUACCAUUCUAUCUUCCCGUCUACUUACCUAUUCUUCUGCCUUAGGUUCUGCUAUUGAUUUUUUUCCAAUGUAUUCUUAAUUUCAGUUAUUUUGUUCAUCACAGUUUAUUCUUUAAUUCUUUUAGGUCUUUGUUAAGCACUUCUUAUAUUUUGUCAAUCUGUGCUUACAUUGUGUUUCUGAGAUCUUGGAUCAUCUUUACUAUCAUAACUCUGAAUUCUUUUUCAGGUAGAUUGCCUAUUUCCUCAUUUAUUUGACCUUGUGGGUUUUUACCUUGGUCCUUCAUCUGCAACAUAUUUCUCUUGUCACCUCAUUUUGUCUAAAUUACUGUGUUUGUGGUCUCUUUUCUGCAUGCUUUAGGGGAGCAGUUCCUUUUGCUUCUAUGUCUGCCCCUGGUGGGUGAUGUUGGUCCAGGGUCUUGUGUAGGCUUCCCUUCCACUCAAUUCAAACAUUGAAAUCCUAAUCCCCUACUGUGAUGGUAUUAGAGGGUAGGCCCUUUGGGAUAUAGUUAAGUUUACAUGAUAUCAUAUGGUGGGUGCCCAUGAUAGCAUAAAUUCCAUUAUAAGACAAGGAAGAGACAUCAGUACUUCCUUUAUCCACCAUGUGAGACUACAGCAGCCAUCUUCAAGUCAGAAAGAUGGCCUUCACCAAAACCUAACCAUGCUGGUAACCUGACAUAUUAGAGGUCCCAGCCUCCAGAUCUGUGAAAAAUAAAUGUCUUGUUUUCUAAGUCACGUAGUCCAUGGUAUUCUUUUUUUUUUUAGAAGCCUGAGCAAACAAAGACAAGUCACUUCCUUCUGUCCUUGGUGCAAGGACAUGGAGACAAUAGGGCAAAGGACAUCUGAAAGAAGAGCUAUCCAUUUUCUCUGAGUACUUAUUAGGAUAUGUGGUGAAUCAUCCAUUUGUGGUCACCUGGGAGAAUCACAGAAAUUGAUAUUAACAUUAAUAUACAAAGCUAAGCAGUAAUAUUUGGAAGUAUUUUAACCUAACUCUAAAAGUAAACAUUCAUUCUUAUUUUUUACUUAUACUCCACUUUUUCAAUUGCUAUCAUUUCACUGUAAAAACUUAAAGCAAAGAACCAUGAAGUAACAUUUGCCAUUUGACAAAUCUGAUUAAACCAAAGGUGUUUAUCAUUGAAACUGACUCUACCCACCCACUCCAUCUCAAGUUUACUUUCUGUUAGACAAAAUAUUACUAUCUUUUCCCAGAAGGAACCCAAACCAUUGUCCAUUGGAAACAGUUAUGUUUUAGGCUGUUAAACAUUGCAGGGGGUUAUAAAAUACAAAAAUAAGUGUUGGUGUUGGAAUGGAUUUCAAGAGUUUUUGGAACAUGUAUUCCGAAGACAUCUUAGAGUUCUUGACCAGAUUAAAGAAAGAUGUUGUAAUAAGGAGGGGAAAAAAUGUUUUGUAACUUGUACUUACCUAGUUGCAAUUACUAGAUCCAUUUAAAAUGAUAAUUUAAUAAAAUCAUAAGGUUAGCAGAGAAUGAACAGUCUAUUCUGAAGGUUACUCAUAGCUUUAUACUUAAAGAAUGCUUUCAGUAUGCCGUCUUUGACAUACCAUGUUUGCUGUUUGGAGGGAGGACAGGCUUUAGAGCUAAACAGACACAGGUAAGGAUUUAAUCUUCUUAUUGUCAAUGGACAAGUAAACAAGUAGCCUUUCCUUGCUCCAUGCUCUCAUCUGUAAAUGGGAGUAAUACAUGAUGUAGAGGUCAUGUGAUGGAUAAUAGAAUUUGGUACAGUGCUCAGUAGAGUAACGGGCACGUAGUAGUAGUAGUUUAGUUGCUAAGUUGGGUCCAACGCUUGUGACCCAUGGACUGUAGCCCGCCAGGCUCCUCUGUCCCUGGGAUCUCCCAGGCAAGAAUACUGGAGUGGGUUGCCAUUUCCUUCUCCAGGGGAUCUUCCUGACCCAGGGAUUGAACCCAUGAUUCCUCUAUUACAGGUGGUCUCCUGUAUUGUAGGGGGAUUCUUUAAUGACUGAGCCACUGGGGAAGCCAACAGGCACAUAGUUGGUGCUUAAUCACUGUUAGCUAUCAAUAUUAUUAUUUACCCUAACCAGAAACUUACAUUCAAAUAGCAACUCCGUUUUAAUUUACUUUUUCUUCUUUGGUGAAUUCUCAUAGUAUUAUAAAGGGAAUUUACUUGCAAAUAACAUUUUAGCGUUUUGAAAGUGGAGCAGCUAUAUGGCACAGUAAUUUAUAAUUAGUAAUAUUUAUUCAACAAAUAUUUGUUAAACAGCUAGUAUUCAGAGUUUAAUUGUAGGCACUAUCGAGGUAGAAAAAUAAGAACACUUUUAUUUCAAAUAGGUUUUAUUCACUCUACAACUAGAGGAAGGUCUAGUUCAGUAGAAAACACAAGACAAAAAGGAGAGCUUUCAUAUUCUUUGAAGGAGAAUCAUGACGUUAACAUCAUCAACAAUAAUCUGGAACACACCAUUGGUUUUUCCAUUUAGUAUUUUGAAAUACAAAAGAAAAGGAAUCAGAAGGUGAAUAGUCCAUGAGCAUAUUCAACAAUGGUAUUGUUAUUAGGUAUUAAUCCUUUAUUAGAUAAUUAUUUUUCACAUCUGGGAAAACAUCACUGGCAGCACAAUUUUAAGAGAAGUUUGGCAACAUGUAUUUUUCUCAGCAGUUCUGGAUGACAGAUUUUAGUGAAUGCUAGCCAAAAAAAUUAAGGGCAAAACCACUGGUGCACAGAAGACAACAAACUGAUCUUAUUACAGAAACAGAUAGCAGACCACAAUAUAAAAGACAUUUUAAUUUUACACCAAGCCAGAAACUCCAGAUUGAUUGGCAUACACAUCAACAAGCCUGGUCCGUGUUUAAUCAUGAGAGUGACAAGUAUUGAUUUCCUGCCUGCUCUGCCCACCUUAUUUAAAAAAUAUCAGGAUAUUUGCUUUCAAAUGACACAAACUGCCAAGGCUAUAAUCUACAGAAUGACCACUCACUGUUAACAGCAUGCCUGUUUAUGCCCAGUCGCCACUGAAAAGACAAUUACAUAUCACUCAACUGUGCAGCUAGACGUUGACACUGCUUACCCAGAAAGAGUUUAGGAAUCUUACAGUUUAGGAAGAGCAUAUGAAGAUUUUUAAUCUAAAAACGGUCUUUGCAUACCCAAGGAAGUGCCAUUCCUCUUCAGAUUUUAGAGUUCUUAAUUCCUAUAUUAAAAAAAAAACACACAAAUAACAAAAAAUCUAUUCUACUUCUACUCAGUUUUAAUAAAAGCAGUAGUCAAAAAUUGUUGCAAGAUCUCUAACCAAAUGUCAUAAAAUGCCAACUCCAAAAAAGGGCACCACGUUGAAGCCUAAGCGGCAUGACUACAAUGUCCCACAAAACAUUUGACCCUCCUUCCUUGAUGUUGCAACAUUUGCUUCUAACAUGCCUAAGGCCUAAACAGAAAUAAAAGAACUCUGGAUUGCUUUGAAUAGUCUGUAAAUAUCUUACUUCCAAAUUAUAUUGAUUUAAAAUUUCUCCUUUGCCAUUU
rnacentral:lncRNA from 1 species